UACGUAGGUGGCAAGCGUUGUCCGGAUUUACUGGGCGUAAAGAGCGCGCAGGCGGUUGAUUAAGUCGAAAUGUGAAAGCCCCCGGCUCCAACUGGGGAGGGUCAUUCGAAUACUGAUCAACUUGGAAGGCAGGAGAGAGAAGUGGAAUUCCCGGUGUAGUGGUGAAAUGACGUAGAUAUCGGGAGGAACACCAGUCGGCGAAGGCGACUUCUUGGCCUGUUCUUGACGCUGAGGCGGACGAAAGC
rnacentral:rRNA from 1 species